UACGUAGGGUGCAAGCGUUAUCCGGAAUGACUGGGCGUAAAGGGCGUGUAGGCGGCCAGAGAAGUCUCGCGUUAAAUCACUCGGCUCAACCGAGUGGCCGCGCGGGAAACCAUCCGGCUCGAGUCCUGCAGGGGUGAGCGGAAUUCCCGGUGUAGCAGUGAAAUGCGUUGAUAUCGGGAAGAACACCAAUGGCGAAGGCAGCUCACUAGGCAGGGACUGACGCUGAGGCGCGAAAGCGUGGGGAGCGAACAGG
rnacentral:rRNA from 1 species